rnacentral:ncRNA from 1 species
GUUCUUGAAGGGCAAACCUGUCGAAAGGCAGGGACGCAAAGCCAAGGGUCUAAUUCGCUCUGCGAUAUGACAGCCGGUUGCUAGA